GAGUGUUACAGCUUUUAGAAUAGGUCUAGCAGGUUUUCCCGUCUCUGCUGGAAGACUCCU
ensembl:snRNA U7 U7 small nuclear RNA